rnacentral:rRNA from 1 species
UACGGGGGGAGCAAGCGUUGUUCGGAUUUACUGGGCGUAAAGGGCGCGUAGGCGGUCAGCACAGGUCAGUUGUGAAAUCUCCGGGCUUAACUCGGAAAGGUCAACUGAUACUGUGCGACUAGAGUGCGGAAGGGGCAACUGGAAUUCUCGGUGUAGCGGUGAAAUGCGUAGAUAUCGAGAGGAACACCUGCGGCGAAGGCGGGUUGCUGGGCCGACACUGACGCUGAUGCGCGAAAGCCAGGGGAGCGAACGGG